ensembl:lncRNA
ACAUUUAACUUAACAGUAACAAUUUUAGAUUUUUUUGCCAGUUUCAAUGUAACAGCAUGGUGUUGUGUUUGAUUUCAGUUGAAAAUGUUUUCUGCUAAUUUUUUUAUUAACUUAUGUUUAAGGGCCAACUUUAGUUUUACUUUGUGUGUUACAGUUGCCUGAUCUGAAAGAUGCUGAAGCAGUUCAGAAGUUUUUCCUCGAGGAGAUUCAGCUUGGCGAGGAACUACUAGCUCAAGGUGAAUAUGAGAAAGGUGUUGAUCACUUGACCAAUGCCAUUGCUGUGUGUGGACAGCCGCAGCAGCUACUACAAGUUCUACAGCAGACUCUUCCACCACCAGUGUUUCAAAUGCUUCUAACUAAGCUCCCUACAAUAAGCCAGAGAUGUGUGUGGCACUCUGAAGAAUCUGUCAAGAUGAAGUCUCUGCUUCUACAAGCUCACAGCCUGCGGUCCUGAUCCUGUAAUUUACUCUGCAUGGUCCUUUCCUCAUGGAAACCUAAGCAGUCAAGAGCAGGACAUUGGGACAGUGACCCAGGAAGGGAGAAGGCACUCUCAGACCUGAGAGAAGAGGCCAUCGUUUUACCUGGACACAUGCCAUGGAGGUACACCAUGGGUUGGGUGAGGGGUGCUGCUCUCCAAGGACCUUUGGCCUGGAGAUGUUUCGUAAGGUGGGAGGUGAAGUCCCCGCCUUUGGACCCAUGUGUCAGGAAAACCUCCUACCUGUGGGUAAGCGAUGCCUCUCUUUCCAUGAAGCAGAAGAUACCCAACAGGGUGAUGAAAUUAAUGGGCUGGGGAGCUCCUUUGUUUAAAUGAAUGCUGGGAGAGGCAAGGGAGGCUUGAUUUUUCACAUGGUUAAUGUUCCCAAUCCUCUUUUUAGUCCUCUCAUGGCAACCUGUGUACUUUGCAGUUCAAAGUCACAUGAAUCUCUGCUCAGCAGAAAUGUAAAUGUUUUGAUAAAACUGUUCUUAACAAAUUUGAUUCGUUUAAUCAGCUUGAUUAACUGCAGAGCUUUAUGGUCUUUAAUUGGGAAGGAUUUACUAUAAAUUACCAGUUUUUGUAAUUUUAUGAAGAACGUGGCAGUGCGCAGUAUCUUGCUGCCUUGGCAGUGGCAUGGAAGGUGCCUGUCUCUGGCACCCAGCCAUUCCCCUGUAGCUUCACAUGUUUCAGAGCCCUGGAGACCUCUGGGUGCCAAGCCUGCCUGAAAGGCCAGACAGAUGCUGGGCAAGGGGCAGGAUGGACAUGCAGCUGGAAGCGUCUCAAUAGACCCUAUUUCUCUUCUCUCGUGUUUUCAUCUCCCAGAUGAUUAAUCUCCCCUUCCAGUAAAAAUACAGCAUGCCUCUUCUGACAAGUCCCACAAGAAAGGAAGCACAGUUGGCCACAACAGCCCUCUCCUUGUUUUGCUUCAUAACCAGCCUCAGCCUGCACUGUGUUUUCAAAGGCUGGCGGAACAAAAUCCCCAGGUUUACCAGUAGAAAGAGAAAAAAAAGGUUGAUCAGAAAAUCUCAGCUUGGGUACACGUCACAUGUGGUCUUUCCCUUCUUUCAUUUAACGUGGCAGACUGACAGGCUGUAAAAUACAUCCAGCUGGAAAGAAGAUAAUUUUGUUUUACUCUGCCCAGCCUCAUUUUUCAGAGCUGAAUGUCCAGUCGUAUACCUGUGUGAAACCUCCGAGGCCCUGGAGGCUUAAUGCAGCAGUAUUUUUUUUAAUAGACAGUUUGUUGUCCACAUUACAUUUUUCAGUGCCUUUUUGGUCAAUAUCCCAGACUAGAGAAACCAAUGAGAGAUUGAAAACAAAUGAACUCUCCCCUUAAAUUUAGAGUUUGCCCAAAGCACCAGAGCAACUAGAGUAUUGACACAGUCUCUGCACCAGCAGAUUUGCUCUUUGCUUGGCAAGCACUGUUCUCCUGUCGCACUGCUGUGCUGCAGAGCCACUGUUCAGUGGGUCUCGGGGGUCUUGUCAUCGAAAUCCACAGGCUAAGCAACAUGGUUUCGCAGCUCUUUGCAGACAGCUUUGCACUUUUACUCCCCUCUGACUCUGAAGUGGAAUGGCACCUGAAAAAAACGGUGUAUUUCAUAAGAAAGGAAUGUUUUUCAUCCUUUCCUAGGACUUGCAUGGUCCUUCUGCAUGUACAGCUCUCACAGGCCAGCAUGAUGCAGGAGGAGACAUUUCUAACAGCAAACAACCCAGUUCCUCUUUCACCUUUGACAUUUCUACACAGUAUGAAAAGCUCUCGGCUGCUCACCAAAAGUUAGUAUUUGACCCUUUUUUUGCUUUUUUUCUUUCUUUUGCACAAACUAAACAUUCACAUGUCAUAUCCUGUAUGAGCAGUUGUUUUAAUGGAUGCGCUGCCAACAAAGAUGCUUGGGUUUAAGUGGCUGAUCCUUUGCCACCAUAAUGGCUUUUAAUGAAAGGUUUUGUCUUCGUAAGGCCAGAAUGUUCUUUAUCCAGCUUUGGCUUUUGAAAGAAACACCAUAAAUGUUUUUUGAUUGGAUGUGAAAUGUUGUGUAAAUUCUGUAAUACCAAGUUGGAAAAUCUGUCCUUUCCUUGUUAAUAGGCUAUAUAUCAAAACAGGGGGGGGUUAAAGCCUAAAUGGUUUUAUACACUAUGAAUUCAUCAGUUUUACAUCCCCAGCAAGGGGAAUAUUUAAAAACAGAAGAAAUGUGUAAAAAUAAA